rnacentral:rRNA from 1 species
AUUGAACGCUGGCGGCAGGCCUAACACAUGCAAGUCGAGCGGAUGAAGGGAGCUUGCUCCUGGAUUCAGCGGCGGACGGGUGAGUAAUGCCUAGGAAUCUGCCUGGUAGUGGGGGAUAACGUCCGGAAACGGGCGCUAAUACCGCAUACGUCCUGAGGGAGAAAGUGGGGGAUCUUCGGACCUCACGCUAUCAGAUGAGCCUAGGUCGGAUUAGCUAGUUGGUGGGGUAAAGGCCUACCAAGGCGACGAUCCGUAACUGGUCUGAGAGGAUGAUCAGUCACACUGGAACUGAGACACGGUCCAGAGUCCUACGGGGGGCAGCAGUGGGGAAUAUUGGACAAUGGGCGAAAGCCUGAUCCAGCCAUGCCGCGUGUGUGAAGAAGGUCUUCGGAUUGUAAAGCACUUUAAGUUGGGAGGAAGGGCAGUAAGUUAAUACCUUGCUGUUUUGACGUUACCAACAGAAUAAGCACCGGCUAACUUCGUG